GAUCCUGGCUCAGGAUGAACGCUAGCUACAGGCUAAACACAUGCAAGUCGAGGGGCAGCAUUUCAGUUUGAUUGCAAACUGGAGAUGGCGACCGGCGCACGGGUGAGUAACACGUAUCCAAUCUGCCGAUAACUCGGGGAUAGCCUUUCGAAAGGAAGAUUAAUACCCGAUGGUAUAAUUAGACCGCAUGGUCUUGUUAUUAAAGAAUUUCGGUUAUCGAUAAGGAUGCGUUCCAUUAGG
rnacentral:rRNA from 1 species